AGAGUUUGAUCCUGGCUCAGAGCGAACGCUGGCGGCAGGCUUAACACAUGCAAGUCGAACGGGCACCUUCGGGUGUCAGUGGCAGACGGGUGAGUAACACGUGGGAACGUACCCUUCGGUUCGGAAUAACUCAGGGAAACUUGAGCUAAUACCGGAUACGCCCUUUUGGGGAAAGGUUUACUGCCGAAGGAUCGGCCCGCGUCUGAUUAGCUUGUUGGUGGGGUAACGGCCUACCAAGGCGACGAUCAGUAGCUGGUCUGAGAGGAUGAUCAGCCACACUGGGACUGAGACACGGCCCAGACUCCUACGGGAGGCAGCAGUGGGGAAUAUUGGACAAUGGGCGCAAGCCUGAUCCAGCCAUGCCGCGUGAGUGAUGAAGGCCUUAGGGUUGUAAAGCUCUUUUGUUU
rnacentral:rRNA from 1 species